GGCUUGCCUGAUGCCUCCACCCCUGUGUAGUUUCUUUAACCGACAAGAACACAGAGACAGGCGGCCAGAGACCGAGAGCGGUUGUUCGUGCUCGACGCGUGUCCGCAGUCGUGGCAACGCCGACAUCCUCUUUUAGCCCACCGAGAGAGAGAGCCCCCAGCCCCUCCGUCGCACUCUCCGCCGCCGGCCAUGAAGAAGACGACGCUCGCUGUCGCCGACGAGUCAUCGCCAUUCCUAACUCAUCUCCGUUCCAUACUCUUCUCUCCAUGCCGAACAUUUCUUCUGUUGAGCCCAUCUUGUUUCAUCCACUGCAGUAACGGGAACGCGGACCUCGCCAUCGUUGUCCCGGAGCGAGCACCGUAGGUCGCCGGCACUAGCAUCGUCGUCGUGCCCAACGGAGGAUACCACCCCGAGCUGAGUCCUCUCGCCAUCAUCCUCCUAUCGAUCUCCUCUUCAAAAGCCCUCAAGAAUCCAAGCCAAUGGCGCAGCUAACGGGGAGAUCGGCAUCAUCUUCUUCAACUCCGGCCAACUGCCGCCGCCGUCGAAUCCUCUUCCUCCGGUGAGCCGCAGAUCAAUUCCUUGCGCAUGCAACUCCCUAGCGAUCUCACUAACCACACAUACACCUUUUCUGAGCAUCCCAUCGACCGGAGCGAGCCCGUCGCCGUGAAGCCGACGCCAUCCUUCGUCGCCGAGCCAUCUUCUCCACUGCCGCCGUUGUCCAGACGACCAGACCUCACCGUGCUGGGUUCAAGCUUUCCUCAAAGCCGUCGCCGCACAAAUCACUUUUACGCGCUGCUCCGGCGACAAAACCACCAUCUACGGGUUCGCAAUGGAGUCAUCUGCAUUUUCUCUUUUGGUUGGGUCGGCUGAGAAUGCACCGUCCGCCGUCGGCAUCGCCGUGAACCUCGCCGGCCGGCGAGGUCUGCUCCUGCUGCUGCCGCUCUUUUCUCCCCCGAGCAAACGACAGGUGGGGCCCAUUUAAUUAGGCACUAAGGACUGUGAUUAGAAAUAGUUUAAAACAUGUAAGGUUGAAAUUGUAAAAUCGUAUAGCAUGACAUGUGGACCCAAGAACUUGCAUGCAACUAAAUUAAAACUUGAUCACUCUUAAUGAA